rnacentral:rRNA from 1 species
UGAUUUAUAUUAAAUGGCCGCAGUAACCUGACUGUGCUAAGGUAGCAUAAUCAUUUGUUUAAUAAAUUUAAACUAGAAUGAAAGGAAAAAAGUAUAUUAACUGUUAAUUACAAAUCUUUUGAAAUCCUUUUUAAAGUGCAAAAACUUUAAUUAGUGACAUAAACGAGAAGACCCUAAAAAUUUUAAUCUAUUUUAUUGGGACAAUACUAUUACAUAAUUAUUAUAUGUUAAACAUUAUCUAUGCUAAUUAACUAAAUAAAAUUACUUUAGGGAUAACAGCAUAAUAACUAUAAAGAGACCUAAUCUAAAUAGUUGCUUGUGACCUCGAUGUUGAAUCAUUUUAACAAAACUUGCAGAAGAGUUUUAUCUAUCGUCUGUUCGACGAUUCUACAUUACGUGA